UACCGGCAGCCCGAGUGAUGGCCGAUCUUAUUGGGCCUAAAGCGUCCGUAGCUGGCCGCGCAAGUCCAUCGGGAAAUCCACCUGCUCAACAGGUGGGCGCCCGGUAGAAACUGCGUGGCUUGGGACCGGAAGGCGCGACGGGUACGUCCGGGGUAGGAGUGAAAUCCCGUAAUCCCGGACGGACCACCGAUGGCGAAAGCACUCUGAGAGGACGGAUUCGACAGUGAGGGACGAAAGCUAGGGUCUCGAA
rnacentral:rRNA from 1 species